GUGACAGUUAUCGGGGCUGAAGUGCAGGAUAACGUUUUGCACCCAAUUAGCGUGCGUCCUGCGUCAAACUUUACAGACCCACACUGCAGUGCCCUUUCUGAAAUACCUGACGUGAUUUUUAUUUAUUUUUUUUUGGUCAUUUCUGUCAGUGCAAUGAAGAGCGAAACCAGACCCAGAGCUUAAGCCACAUGUAGUGCCUUAAACCACCUCACCACAAGGGCAAGGGUGGCACCGAGAGGUCUCUGGCUGCAGGCCACCCGCACGGUGUCUGCUCCUCGCUGAGAGGAAAACUACCUGGCACAGCCAUGCUAGGAUGAUGUUGUGCCGGCCCAGAGCUCGCCUGCUGCCGUGCAGCUCCAAGGAGCAAGAGCGCACGUGGAGGGGACCAGCCUCCGUCCUUCAAGAGCCUGCAGGCAUUUGGGCAAAGUCUGCUCUGCAGCAUGCACAAGAAGUCAGCCAUGGUGACAGAAUAAAUUCCAUGAAACCGCAAGACAAAAUCAAGAGAUGGAAAACUGAAUGGAAGAAUUUCAUCGAAACCCCACUUGAUCGCCGUCUCCUGCAUUGCCUGCCUUAACCACUGCGUGCCGUGGGGCCUCCCAGCAGGGAGCCUCUCAUGCUCCAACUCAUCCUCCUGGGAUGGGAAUGCUGCCUGCAGGAACCAGUACAAGUUCUGUCCUGCUUAAGAAAAGGAGCAGACUGGGAAGAACCAGAAUCAGGUGCCAUCAUUGUGCCAUGGAAUUUUCCUCAGCAAGACAUCUGCCCUUCACAGACUUGGACAACACAGACAUGGAAAGAAAUAUGUCUGCAAUUGUAAAGACAGAGUGAAUGAAGAACAAAGAACAUCCCUUGCUAGCUUUCAUUUGGCUAACACAGGCCUGAACAUCACCUCGUUCUCAAGGAGCAACCCCAUGCACUAGAUAAAGCCUGACACAGUAUCUCUUCAUGAGGAGAACAGUUCAGGACUGUGCCUUUCCUUAGCUGUGACCUCAGCAGAUGCACUUUGUGUUGCAGAAAGAGGAUGUGAGAGAGGGCACGUGCUCAGGGCAUAGUACGCUUGGCACUGGUGAGUGAUAAUCCAGCAUAAAUUACUGUCUAAUUGAACUGGUUUUGCCAUUUGGAUUUCACACAUUUCAGCAAGGUGUGCAAAUGGUGGGGAAGGGAGGCCAUUUUAUUUGUUGUAUUUUUUUGAUUGCAAAGCCUGAGUGUUGGCCUUAUGUCUGUUCUAGUGAAUUGGCACUGCACACACACACACAGACUUGGAUUUCCUUUAUGAAUAGCUGAAAUUCCAGUCUUGCCUGGCACAAGGGUAAGUUUCACAUAAAGAACAGCCUCUGUGGAGAGUUUUUGAAAAUAAAUCAAAAACCUGAGAGACUGAGAAAAAUUCUGAGAAUUGGAGAUGUGACAAACCGCAUUGCCCAGCUUCUUACUGGCACGGUUAGGAUACGACUCUCAUCCACACAAAUGUACAGUCCUAGACAAAUUCCACAGCUGGCACUCAAACACCCAAGUAAGCUCUCUGCAGGAGAGCAUGUCUGUACACACAGCCAUUUGGCCACCGUGCAGUACUGCUCAUAAGCAGUACGAAUACACGCAUAUGGGCUUCUCUAGUUCCAUACAUUCAUCCUCGCAAUCACAAGCUGGGUUCCACAAGCACACAGGCCCCGCUAGCUUACAGAGU